ACCGUACUCCUACGGGAGGCAGCAGUGGGGAAUUUUGGACAAUGGGGGCAACCCUGAUCCAGCAAUGCCGCGUGAGUGAAGAAGGCCUUCGGGUUGUAAAGCUCUUUUGUCAGGGAAGAAACGGUAGUAGCUAAUAUCUAUUACUAAUGACGGUACCUGAAGAAUAAGCACCGGCUAAUUACGUGCCAGCAGCCGCGGUAAUACGUAGGGUGCAAGCGUUAAUCGGAAUUACUGGGCGUAAAGCGUGCGCAGGCGGUUGUGUAAGUCAGAUGUGAAAUCCCCGGGCUCAACCUGGGAAUUGCAUUUGAAACUGCACGGCUAGAGUGUGUCAGAGGGGGGUAGAAUUCCACGUGUAGCAGUGAAAUUCGUAGAUAUGUGGAGGAAUACCGAUGGCGAAGGCAGCCCCCUGGGAUAACAAUGACGCUCAUGCACGAAAGCGUGGGGAGCAACCAGGAUUAGAAACCCCAGUAGUCCUUGAC
rnacentral:rRNA from 1 species